rnacentral:rRNA from 2 species
UCGGAAUGAAAAUAAUUGGAUUAGUGGCGGACGGGUGAGUAACACGUGAGUAACCUGCCUUACACAAGGGGAUAGCCGUUGGAAACGACGAAUAAUACCCUAUGAAACUAUCACUUCGCAUGAAGCGAUAGUCAAAGUGUUAGCGGUGUAAGAUGGACUUGCGUCUGAUUAGCUAGUUGGUGAGAAAAAAGCCCACCAAGGCAACGAUCAGUAGCCGGCUUGAGAGAGUGUACGGCCACAUUGGGACUGAGACACGGCCCAGACUCCUACGGGAGGCAGCAGUGGGGAAUUUUGCACAAUGGGGGAAACCCUGAUGCAGCGACGCCGCGUGAUUUAGAAGGCCUUCGGGUUGUAAAAAUCUUUUGUAUAGGAAGAAAAUGACAGUACUAUACGAAUAAGGUCCGGCUAAUUACGUGCCAGCAGCCGCGGUAAUACGUAAGGACCGAGCGUUGUCCGGAAUCAUUGGGCGUAAAGGGUACGUAGGCGGGUCACUAAGUUAGAAGUCAAAGGCUAUAGCUCAACUAUAGUAAGCUUCUAAAACUGGAGACCUUGAGUAAUGGAAGGGAAAGUGGAAUUCCUAGUGUAGCGGUGGAAUGCGCAGAUAUUAGGAGGAAUACCGGUGGCGAAGGCGACUUUCUGGCCAUUAACUGACGCUGAGGUACGAAAGCGUGGGUAGCAAACAGGAUUA